rnacentral:misc_RNA from 1 species
GAUGAAGAACGUAGCGAAAUGCGAUACGUAAUGUGAAUUGCAGAAUUCAGUGAAUCAUCGAGUCUUUGAACGCACAUUGCGCCUUCUGGUAUUCCGGAAGGCAUGCCUGUUCGAGAGUCAUUAACAACCGUUUCGAUCCCUUUCUUUCAGAAAUUACAAAGAGGAAAAGGGUUUGGUUAUGGUGGAGGAGGGAAAGGGAGCGUUUAGCCUGUAAAAAAAGAGGCUGUGUUCCGCCUCCCCCCCAAAAUUGUACAGGCGGUCGUGUGCGCCCACGCAUCGAGGUGUUGUAAAAGCUGCCACGGCACUUUUCACCUGUGCAGUGCGAGAUUGGCCAGCCGGUUUAAAAACCCCUCCAAACAAUCAAAGGUUGACCUCGGAUCAGGUAGGGAUACCCGCUGAACUUAAGCAUAUCAAUAAGCGGAGGA